AUUGAACGCUGGCGGCAGGCCUAACACAUGCAAGUCGAGCGGGGCGGCGGACGGGUGGGUGAUGCCUGGGUAUCUGCCUGGUAGUGGGGGAUGACGUACGGAAGCGGGCGCUAAUUCCUCAUGCUAUCAAUUGAGCCUGGGUGGGAUUAGCUAGUUGGUGGGGUAAAGGCCUACCAAGGCGACGAUCCGUACCUGGUCUGAGAGGAUGAUCAGUCACACUGGAACUGAGACACGGUCCAGACUCCUACGGGAGGCAGCAGUGGGGAAUAUUGCACAAUGGGCGAAAGCCUGAUGCAGCCAUGCCGCGUGUGUGAAGAAGGUCUUCGGAUUGUAAAGCACUUUCAGCGGGGAGGCGUUACCAGCAGAAUAAGCACCGGCUAACUCCGUGCCAGCAGCCGCGGUAAUAC
rnacentral:rRNA from 1 species